ACAUGACAUUUACUCAUCUGUGAGAAAUGUUCAGGCACAGACGACUUUAAACUUAUCUGAAUUACUUUGUUUAUGACACUUAUUCAGGAAAAUAUCACACAUUCAUCAUCAGAUCAAAUAUAUGUGAUAGAGCCUUAAGGGCGGCUGUCAGACAGAGAACUUCUCCUGGCUGCUGUCGGUGACAGCAGGGGCUUCCGGGAUUGGACGAGUGACCACGGCCGCCUGUCAUGUAAGAGGAUGGAAGACGCCAGUUCACAGGUGCAUGGCAUCUGACAGAUAAUAGCAGAUAAACCGCUGGCCAACCAGCAGUUCACCCCUCACUGGGAGGAGAGGGUUAUGGGACCUGUGGUGGUGGUGGUGGGGUU